GACAGAGGCCCCAAGCGUUUAGGCGGAAUCACUGGGCUUAAAGCGUGUGUAGGCGGACGCCUAAGUGUCUUGUGAAAUCCCACGGCUCACCCGUGGAACUGCUGGGCAUACUGGGCGUCUUGGGCCAACUAGGGGCAGCCGGAACAAGCGGUGGAGCGGUGAAAUGCGUAGAUAUCGCUUGGAACGCCGAAGGUGAAAACAGGCUGCUGGGGUUGUGCCGACGCUGAGACACGAAAGCCAGGGGAGCAAACGGG
rnacentral:rRNA from 1 species